UACGUAGGGGGCAAGCGUUGUCCGGAAUCAUUGGGCGUAAAGCGCGUGUAGGCGGCCCGGUAAGUCCGCUGUGAAAGUCGGGGGCUCAACCCUCGAAUGCCGGUGGAUACUGUCGGGCUAGAGUGCGGGAGAGGCGAGUGGAAUUCCUGGUGUAGCGGUGAAAUGCGCAGAUAUCGGGAAGAACACCCGUGGCUAAGGCGGCUCUCUAGUACGGUACUGACGCUGAGACGCGAAAGCGUGGGGAGCGAACAGG
rnacentral:rRNA from 1 species